CAAAUCCGCGCUCCACAGCCAACCCCAAUCGAUCGACUUAAGAAACAAAACACCAAACGGAAUCCAAACGGCACCUUUGAGUUGGCAAGAAAUUUGCGCUAUCGAUCGCAAGAACGGAAAACCCAAAUAGCGUCCAAGCCGUACAAUGAUCGAAGGCAAUAGAAAGCUGAACAGAGCACCCAGAGAAAUUGAAUGCGAGUAGAAGCAGAAUGCAAGAAAAAUUAAGAAUCUUUAGCGCAAUAAAUUGGAGAAGAAGGAAAUAUUGAAACAAAAAGAAAUUAGGUAUCGCCUCGCAGGGAGAUGAAACUCAGAGAGGGACAGAGAGCUUUGAGUGCUUUGGCUUUACAGGGAAAG
rnacentral:misc_RNA from 1 species